rnacentral:sRNA from 1 species
UUCGAUUCGAGCGCAGCGAGAAAGCGUUGCCGCAGGCAACGACCCGAAGGGCGAAGCGCGCAGCGCUGAGUAAUCCUUCCCCCACCACCA